rnacentral:pre_miRNA from 1 species
AGGAGCAACAGCCCCAGUGGCGGGGCCAGCUCUAGAGCCCUGGAUUCAGCCCCCGCAGUACCUCCGGAGCUCUCCGUCUGCAGGGCCUGGAGGCUCCGGGGCGGG